rnacentral:rRNA from 1 species
UACGGGAGGCAGCAGUGGGGAAUAUUGCACAAUGGGCGCAAGCCUGAUGCAGCCAUGCCGCGUGUAUGAAGAAGGCCUUCGGGUUGUAAAGUACUUUCAGUCGUGAGGAAGGUGUUAAGGUUAAUAACCUUAGCAAUUGACGUUAGCGACAGAAGAAGCACCGGCUAACUCCGUGCCAGCAGCCGCGGUAAUACGGAGGGUGCGAGCGUUAAUCGGAAUUACUGGGCGUAAAGGGCACGCAGGCGGUUAAUUAAGUUGGAUGUGAAAUCCCCGGGCUUAACCUGGGAAUGGCAUUCAAGACUGGUUAGCUAGAGUCUUGUAGAGGGGGUUAGAAUUCCAUGUGUAGCGGUGAAAUGCGUAGAGAUGUGGAGGAAUACCGGUGGCGAAGGCGGCCCCUGGGACAAAGACUGACGCUCAUGUGCGAAAGCGUGGGGAGCAAACGAGGAUUAGAUACC